rnacentral:rRNA from 1 species
AUUGAACGCUGGCGGAAUGCUUUACACAUGCAAGUCGAACGGCAGCACGGACUUCGGUCUGGUGGCGAGUGGCGAACGGGUGAGUAAUGUAUCGGAACGUGCCCAGUCGUGGGGGAUAACGUAGUGAAAAUUACGCUAAUACCGCAUACGAUCUAUGGAUGAAAGCGGGGGAUCGCAAGACCUCGCGCGAUUGGAGCGGCCGAUAUCAGAUUAGGUAGUUGGUGGGGGAAAGGCCCACCAAGCCAACGAUCUGUAGCUGGGCUGAGAGGACGACCAGCCACACUGGAACUGAGACACGGUCCAGACUCCUACGGGAGGCAGCAGUGGGGAAUUUUGGGCAAUGGGCGAAAGCCUGAUCCAGCCAUUCCGCGUGCAGGAUGAAGGCCCUCGGGUUGUAAACUGCUUUUGUACAGAACGAAAAGGUUUCUACUAAUACUAGGAGCUCAUGACGGUACUGUAAGAAUAAGCACCGGCUAACUACGUGCCAGCCGCCGCGGUAA